rnacentral:lncRNA from 1 species
GAAUAUCUACAUAUAAAACCUAGACAGAAGCAUUCUCAGAAACCUCUUUGUAAUGUUUGCAUUCAACUCAUAGGUUUCAACAUUCCCUAUCAUAGAGCAGGUUUGAAACACUCUUUUUGUAGUAUGUGGAAGUGGACAUUUGGAGCGCUUUGAGGCCUACGGUGAAAAAGGAAAUAUCUUCCGAUAAAAACUAGACAGAAGCAUUCUCAGAAACU